CCUACGGGGGGCUGCAGUGGGGAAUAUUGGACAAUGGGCGAAAGCCUGAUCCAGCCAUGCCGCGUGUGUGAAGAAGGCCUUCGGGUUGUAAAGCACUUUCAGUGGGGAAGAAAGCCUUGGGGCUAAUACCCUCGAGGAAGGACAUCACCCACAGAAGAAGCACCGGCUAACUCCGUGCCAGCAGCCGCGGUAAUACGGAGGGUGCGAGCGUUAAUCGGAAUUACUGGGCGUAAAGCGCGCGUAGGCGGUCUGAUAAGCCGGUUGUGAAAGCCCCGGGCUCAACCUGGGAACGGCAUCCGGAACUGUCAGGCUAGAGUGCAGGAGAGGAAGGUAGAAUUCCCGGUGUAGCGGUGAAAUGCGUAGAGAUCGGGAGGAAUACCAGUGGCGAAGGCAGCCUUCUGGACUGACACUGACGCUGAGGUGCGAAAGCGUGGGUAGCAAACAGGAUUAGAUACCCUAGUAGUC
rnacentral:rRNA from 1 species